rnacentral:rRNA from 1 species
AUUGAACGCUGGCGGCAGGCCUAACACAUGCAAGUCGAGCGAGCGGCGGACGGGUGAGUAAUGUAUGGGGACUGCCCGUUAGAGGGGGAUAACCACUGGCAACGGUGUCUAACACCGCAUACUCUCCGACCACCCAUAUGGGAUUAGCUAGUAGGUGGGGUAAAGGCUCACCUAGGCGACGAGCUCUAGCUGGUCUGAGAGGAAGAUCAGCCACACUGGGACUGAGACACGGCCCAGACGCCUACGGAGGCAGCAGUGGGGAAUAUUGCACAAUGGGCACAAGCCUGAUGCAGCCAUGCCGCGUGGAUGAAGAAGGCCUUAGGGUUGUAAAGUACUUUCAGCGGGGAGGCGUUACCCGCAGAAGAAGCACCGGCUAACUCCGUGCCAGCAGCCGCGGUAAUGC